CUCCGGUUGAUCUGCCGGGACCCGACUGCUAUCAGAGUGGGACUAAGCCAUGCGAGUCAACAUAGCAAUAUGUGGCAUACGGCUCAGUAACACGUAGUCAACAUGCCCAGGGGACGUGGAUAACCUCGGGAAACUGAGGAUAAACCGCGAUAGGUCAUCACUUCUGGAAUGGGUAAUGACUUAAAUCUAUAUGGCCCCUGGAUUGGACUGCGGCCGAUCAGGCUGUUGGUGAGGUAAUGGCCCACCAAACCUGUAACCGGUACGGGCUCUGAGAGGAGGAGCCCGGAGAUGGGCACUGAGACAAGGGCCCAGGCCCUAUGGGGCGCAGCAGGCGCGAAACCUCUGCAAUAGGCGAAAGCUUGACAGGGUUACUCUGAGUGAUUUCCGUUAAGGAGAUCUUUUGGCACCUCUAAAAAUGGUGCAGAAUAAGGGGUGGGCAAGUCUGGUGUCAGCCGCCGCGGUAAUACCAGCACCCCGAGUGGUCGGGACGUUUAUUGGGCCUAAAGCAUCCGUAGCCGGUUCUACAAGUCUUCCGUUAAAUCCACCUGCUUAACAGAUGGGCUGCGGAAGAUACUAUAGAGCUAGGAGGCGGGAGAGGCAAGCGGUACUCGAUGGGUAGGGGUAAAAUCCGUUGAUCCAUUGAAGACCACCAGUGGCGAAGGCGGCUUGCCAGAACGCGCUCGACGGUGAGGGAUGAAAGCUGGGGGAGCAAACCGGAUUAGAUACCCGGGUAGUCCCAGCUGUAAACGAUGCAGACUCGGUGAUGAGUUGGCUUAUUGCUAACUCAGUGCCGCAGGGAAGCCGUUAAGUUUGCCGCCUGGGGAGUACGGUCGCAAGACUGAAACUUAAAGGAAUUGGCGGGGGAACA
rnacentral:rRNA from 1 species